rnacentral:rRNA from 1 species
UACGUAGGGGGCAAGCGUUGUCCGGAUUUAUUGGGCGUAAAGAGCGUGUAGGCGGCUUCACAGGUCCGCUGUGAAAACUCGAGGCUCAACCUCGAGCUGUCGGUGGAAACCGUGUGGCUAGAGUCCGGAAGAGGAGAGUGGAAUUCCCGGUGUAGCGGUGAAAUGCGCAGAUAUCAGGAGGAACACCGGUGGCGAAGGCGGCAUCCUGGACCGGCAUUGACGCUGAGGCGCGAAAGCUAGGGGAGCAAACGGG